AGAACAGGUGUAGAAUAUCUCAGCUUUGGGGCUAACUUGACUGAGACAAACUGAUGCUUUCCAAAUAUCAGAAAAAGGAAUGGGGAAAGGGAUACAGGAACCCUUGCUGCAUCUCCUUUGCACAAAGGCAAAUAUCCACAUAUACAAUGUUCAUCCCAUUCUUUGUCCUUCCAUGCAUGUUUUUUUCUGUUUCAAACGUUUCGUGGCAUUUUCUUUUAUGGAGCGUAAAAGUGGGUGUGGUAUAUCUUUGCAAACUUUCUCUGAUCUCCAAAUUCCAAGAAGAAAUUAAGAAACAUUCAGCAACUUCCCAAGAAUACGGAAACUCUGUUCAUCAAAAGUGGGUGUGGUAUUGGGUUUGUUCUUUUGCAGGUGGAUCUGAAUUAAUGGAAGCAAUUACAGCAGGUAGCACACCCAUGCAUGCAGACCAAUGGAUGGAAUAGAGCAGUAGAAAAUUGAUGCUGCAUCACAACGAACCCAUCAAAGGAAGUAUAGUUUUGUAUAUUCCACUCCUAUGAUUGUCCCUCUCACUUCUUCUAAUUCCUGUGUCUUGCAUAGAAGUCACGGGUAUGCCUUGAAACUUGAAAAAAAAAAAUAAAGACGCAUGCAGUGUCCUUGUUCCUUUCUCUGCAAACAAAACAAGAUACCUCUGUGAGAAACCAUAUAGCUAGAAGGCGAUCGAUGUGGCUGUGAAGAACACAAUUUGGUCACAAAAUACCACGGGGAUAUAUACCAGUCAGGACUCUGGGGCCAGUACAGUACACAACAUAUAUGCUCAUCUUCUCUGGAAAUUUUAUAUGCAUAUCCUCUGAAAUUUGAUGACUCCAGGUCCAGAACCCAAGCAUGCGUGCAUUUAUCCCCUCUCUUUGUGCAUGUGUACUUUGCCCUGGCCUUGCAUGCAAGCCAGGGUGCUAUCACGUCAAAUCAUAGUGCUUGUAAAUGUAGCUGUGUAGUAUUCAUGAAGGUGACUUUUGUAUCUGUAUUUAAGAGGAAAAGGUUGUAGAAAUAGGAAUCCGUAACCUCAAUUGUUAAAAAUGAUCUUCCUUUAAUUUGCAGUAGUUAUGUGUCUUGACAUUAUUCUACUCUCUGGUGAACUACUAUGUCUUCUUUUACAGAAGAACUAUAUAUUCAUUGCAACUAAUUUGUCUGAUGCCACCAAUGUGUAAUACUAAUUCAUAUACUGAGUGGUAUAUAGUGUGGUAAGAUAUAUAAUAAUGGAAAAAAAAGCAUUGCUGGGAUAAUGUAUUCCAAAAUACGUAUAUCUUUCUAUUGACAUUAAGUACUAGAACCAGGCAAUAAGAUUUAUUUUUAUAGGGUUGAAGAGGACACCCAGCCACUCAGGCUUGAACCUGCUCACAAAAUAGUGUUACUUCCCUGAGAACCGGUUCCAGGGAGUUUCACGGCCAUACAGGAGCCAGCAGGCAUAGGUGCCAUGGAAUUCAUUUCCUCGUGAUUCCUCGUGAGCACUGAGCACAGCCCCUCCUAAAAACCAAGCGGUGCUAGUACGUGCCAAGCGGAAGUGCGUGCAGAGGCCAGAGGCAGGCUCGCACAGAUAUCCAUGCAUAUGCAUGUAUAAUGGUGAGAGAGAGAGAGACUGGAGGAGACUAGAGGUCCAGACUCCAGCUUUUUAUUUGAAUAUUUGAAGGUGGCGCCCUGUGCCUGCACGUGUGUAUGUGUGUGCUCCAGUCUCAGACAGUGAGACUGGAGAUAUAGCUCUAGAGAGGGAAGAAGCCUUCUUUCUCCUGUCUCCUCCCCCCUUCUCGAUCUCUUUCUCUCUCUCAAGCUUAGAUAGAGAUAAGCCGCAGUGCUGCCUUGCUCCUAGCUCCUUCUUCCCCUCCUCUUAUCUUCUCACAGAUGGCAUUCCUCGUGGAGAGGUGCAGAGGUGGUGGUGGAGAGAUGGCGGCGGCGUCCAUGGACGUGGAGAUGAGCUCGCACGCCGCCAAGCCGGUGGCGCCGGCCCCCUUCCUGACCAAGACCUUCCAGCUGGUGGACGACCCCCGCACCGACCACGUCGUGUCGUGGGGGGAGGACGGCGCCACCUUCGUUGUCUGGCGGCCGCCAGAGUUCGCCAGGGACCUCCUCCCCAACUACUUCAAGCACAACAACUUCUCCAGCUUCGUCAGGCAGCUCAACACCUAUGUAAGUGAGUGUCUCCCUGCUGGCUGAUUCUUGCUUGGUUUGAUUUGGAGGCUCCUGUGUUUCUGUGCAACUUAAUGGGGAUCCUAGAUAAGCUUUAUUAUUUAAAAAUCAGAGCAUUGCUGGCAUUUUCAUUGUGGAUGGUGUUUACGUUAGCUGUGAGAUUUGAUUUGUUUUCUACUCAGAAAUGUGUUCUUUUGAAACGAACUCAGGAAUGUGUGGUAAUAACCACUAAUAAUUUGGUGGUGAAAAGAUGAGCGUGAAAUAUAUGCAUGUCUGAAGAUCUUAUUGCUGUACCUGACUACCUGUUGGUUGGUGGUGACAUUUCAUCCUUUCGAUUUCGUGUCUCCCAGAAUGUGACAAUAGGGAUGGGUGGUUGUGGACGUACUGGGAGUGUGGGAUAAGUCUUGUUGCUAGAUUUGAAGGUACUGCAAGUGUGCUUCCCACCUGCAGAUUUUUAUUUUAUUUUCGUGUCUUCAAAAAUCCAUCUUUUAUUAAAAAAACUCUGUUACCUUUUGCCUUUUUUGUCACAGAAUUUUUUUCCUAAAACAAGGAGAGUGCACGUUGACGUCAUCUUGUUCUUCCAUAUAUGCGGUUGUGUUGGGAUUCUCUUUUUCUAAUAUUUUUUUAUUAUUUUUUGAGGACUGAGUUUGAUUCUUUUGAACUAAGCUCAUCAGUUGGAUUCUUGCUAUUUAUGCUUCCUCAUACCCAGUUUUGUCCACAACUCCUCUCGUACUUGCAAACCAAUACUUUGUCACGAGUUCACAGCAAGCCAUUAUAUAUACCACAUUUACAACAUCCAUCACUUCUUCACCCUCCUCUCAUCUGCAGUUAGCACGCCAUGAAAUACACAUUCAUACGCCUCUCGUGCACCAGUUAACAGUACAUCAUUUUUCUCAGUGAUAUUCGCCUCCCAAUCAUUGGCAGAGAAAAGAUUGACAUAAACACUUGCAGUGCUGUAGCAUCAGUCCAUGUAGCAUCGAUUUUCACUCGGGCUUAAUUCAGAGUUGGCUUCAGGAAGAUCGUGGCAGACAGGUGGGAGUUCGCCAACGAGUUCUUCAAGAAGGGCGCCAGGCACCUCCUCUCGGAGAUCCACCGGAGGAAGCCCUCGUCGUGCUGCUCGCAGCCGCCGCCGCCGCUGCAGCCACUCC